GAAAGAAAGAAAUGAGGCCGGGGCGCCUGGCCAGGAAGUGGAACCUUUGGCCAAGCAGGGCACUUGGGAGCCGAUUUGCAUUUCAGGAAACUAGGUGACACUGAAGGCACCAAAAAUGGCGUGCAGAAUGCAGAAGUCCGGCUCGUCCCGCAGGGGUGGCGGCAACUAAGGGACUCCUCCCACUCCCCAGGCUGGAGAUCAUGCUGCUCAGCAUUCUGAUUUCCCUUUGUGGGGCACACAUCUAUCCUAGGAACCAAGCUACAGCCAUUUUCCCUGGGGAAGAAAUGCCCGUUUCCCCAGGACAAUCCUGCGAAGACUGUAGGAUCCCCAAUGCUGGUUACAGGGCCCUGCUGCAGUGGGAUGGCUUCAGAGGAAGACAGACCUCAACCCAGCAGGAUUUCAGGCAGGACAGAGUUCAGGACAACCCACUGGCCUUCACCUCUGGGAUAUUUCAAAAGCGACAUGCAGGCAUGACAAGCCCAGGCUAUUUCUCAUUCACAGGAGGUCAGUGGAAGAAAAAGCUAGAGAUGCUCUUGGGCUGGGCCAGAAGGAUCUGUUGCUGAGCCCACGGCCCCAACCUCAGACAGACCCAUUUCAAAUCCACUGUGACUUCUGGGAGAAGUACAUUUAUGUAUGCCCUGUCUGGGGGACUGGGGUGGGCAGCCCGGAGAACAGGGGUCAGAAAAUGAUGGCAAACUCAAAAAUGUUUUUUUUUUUUUUAUACUUUCAAAAGAUUGAAAAAAAUAUAUUAACAUUUUGUAAGACGAAGCAUCUGCAUUCAAAUUUCAGUGUGCAUAAAUAAAAGUUUACGGGAACACGGUGAGGUUCAUUCAUUUGCAUACUCUGGCUGUUCUCAAGGGCCAGUUAAGGAGUUGCUGCACACAGGGUGUGACCCACGAUAUUUACCAUCUGGCCCUUGACCGAAGAAGCUUACGGAGCCCUGCUCUGGAGCUGGGAUGGACUCGGCGCCAACACAGGCGGGGUGAAGCAAAGCCCCGGGGCACUAGGCCUUUCUUAGGUGGGGGAUGGCCCGAAGCUGCCCUGCUCCCGGCCCCCAGGUCUGCGAGACUGGGGGCCCUUCUUGUACAAAUGAGCAGAGAAGAGUGAGCAGAUUCUGAGCCUCAGGGACCUUCAUCCUGUCUCCAGGCUGUUCUCCGACAACCCUUCUCUGUGCCCAGGACGAAAUGACUGAAACACAUAGGCAACUUGCCCAAGGCCACACAACCAAGUGACGGAGCUGGGGUUUGAACUGCUGGCCGACUGAAUCCAGAAUUCUCUUCAAAAGUAGGCAUCGGCCCCGCGGGAGCAGGUGGAUGACAGCGAACCCCAGGCCUUCCUACUUUCCUGACCGGCCGGGUCUGCACUCCCCUGAGGCACCAGCAGGGGCCAGGCAUCCACCCAAACCACAGCUCCUGGAUUCUGGGGUGACCACCUGCAUGCCUCAAGCCUCCCACUUACUGUUCUUGGGACUGCAGCCUGCCUGCCCCACCUCUGUUUAUCCCUUUUUUUUUAGGUCACAUCUGUUGCUCAUCCCCAGCUGUUACCUACAGGUUUAACUGGUUUUCCAGAUCACCUGUCAGAGUCAACCUCUUAGGAGAUAAACUGAGCUCAUAACAACCCCGUGAAGCUUGUUGGAGUGUACAUGUACCCACUUCCCAGGUAAAGAAGGAGACACUCUGCUUAGUCAUCUUGGUUACCACCUGGGCUGUGGACUAGAGAAGUCACCCUGGAAAUGUCUUCUGACUGCAAGAGAAGUCAUCAUUUGUGCGCUGAGAAGACCGCAAGCACCCUUGGCUAUGCCCUGGAGAUGCUGCAGCCAGAAAUGUGAAGGCUCGCAGCCAAGUCCAGAAGCUGCAGUUCGUCAAAGCCAGGACUGGGGCAAAGGCAGUAGGUUAUGUCGUAGGAGGGAAUGGUUAGAUCCCAUCAUUGUUUUAGUUAUUAGUGAUAUUUUGUUCAUCACAGAUUUUUGGCAUUAAUUUUUUUAUUUUUAAAAAUAUUUCACUCAAAUAUAAUUUAUCUUGAUUACUCUGUUCUUUUUUUUUUUUUUUUUGGCACUCCCUUCCAUUUUGUACCCGAGGGAUGUGUCUCACUUCGUCCACCCUAAUCCCGGCCCUAUGAGGGAGCAGCAGUUUCUGGACUUCUCUGCAACCUCCCACACUUCCCCUGCUCAGUUGGUUUUGCUCUUGCAUCUAGGGGGACUCUCUUGGAGAGCUCGGGGGCUGGAGCCCAGAGCAUGUCUGCCUCCAGUCAUUUCUCCUACAGAGCCUCCUUCAAUCUCUUGUUGUCCACAGAUUCUCACUGUCUACACUCCUUUGCCUGUCACUUAAGACCUCCUAUGAUACAUCCCUAUUCUGCUUGUAGUGUCCACCACCACUGCAGUCCUCAUCAGUCCACAAGUGAGCUCCUUGCCGGGCACAACCCCCAGCUCUCUCUCUGUUCUCCUGUCUUGUCCUCUCUCCUCUACAGAAACUUCCUCUUCCAGAAUCCCCGAAUUAAUAAUGUGCACCACACACUGUUAUGCUUUCUCCCUUACUGUUUUGGAGAGCGUCUCGCAGAGCUGGUUGAUUUUCAGCCAGCUUGUACCCGUUAGGCUGUUAGUCUGAGUGGUCAGGGGCCAGGCUAUACUGGUGGUUAGGUAUUUUGAAAGUCAGGUUUCCUGUACCUUGCCCUCCACAGCGGAGAUACCAGGGUGCUGGGGCUCACGUCCAGGGCCUGGUAUACAGCAAGCACAAUGUAAAUGCAGCAGCAACAGCCGCAGUAGCUGACAUCAUUCAUUCUGAGUCCGAUGGUGACAGGCUGGGGCAUUAAAGGUGACAUUUGAAGGGCCCUGGGUCCCGGAUGAGGGAGGUUUGGAGGUGCUGGGCUCCCCUCCUGAUGGGGUUGCAGUCAGCACGAGAGGAACAGGAACGGGUGUAUGGGUUUGUGGUUGGGUUUGAGGCUCAGGGGAAACCGAGGGAGAGGAAGCAGCAGGUGGGACCGGCGGAGGACCCAGACCCAGAAGAGGAUCCGCAGGUUGGCCGGGCCCCUGGCCGUGUGAGCAGCACAUUGCCGCCCCCGUCCUGGCAACGAGAAAUGGCCUUUCCUGUUUCUAGCAUGAGUCACUUGGCCUGAGUGUGGGUCACAAUUGCACAGUGAACAUACACGCUUGCAGGUGCGAGGGGGCUCACGAGGGGCUGCCUGACGGAUGGGACCCGGCGGGGCGAGAUGGCCACGGUGCUUGGUGCGUCUGGGUGACCCCCGGCCAGAUACCUCCCCCGCACCUGCCUGGUCCCCGGGGCCCUGCCAGCCAUCAUUCGGACCCUUCCUCAUCUGACACCUGGCCUCUCCUCUCUCAGCCAGACCCCUUGUGUUCCUGACCCUGGGAGGCCCCGCUUGAGACACUCCGGCCGAGAAGCUCUCUGACUAGACUCCCUCUCUCUUGCUGCCGCGUCUUCCGGCUGCCGGGACAUCUAGGCAGCUCACAACCCACCGGUCUGAAGUGUAUACUCAGCGGCAUAUGCCACGAACUGAUCUAAAGCGUUUCUGAUCACAGCUGGAGUGCUUCUCAAUGGAUACUUGCAUUCAGUUCUCUCUCUCCCUCUUUUAUUUUUUAAGUAGACUCCACGCCCAACGUGGGGCUUGAACUCACGACCCCGAGAUGAAGAGCCACUUGCUCUCCUGACCGAGCCAGCCAGGCACCCCAUUUCGCUCUUAUUUUUUUUUUUUUUGAGCUGAAAUUCAAAUAAAAUGAAAUGAAACGUUUAAAGUGUGUAGUUCAGGGCACUUAGCACGUUCACAGUGUUGUGCAACCACCACCUCCAUCUGGUUUCAAAACUUUAUCAUCCCUUUAGAACAGCCCACGCACAUGAAGUAACCACUGCUCAUUUCCUCCACCCCAAACUCCCCUGCAGACACGAAUCUGUUUUCUGUCUCUGGGGAUUUGCCUGUUCCGGACAUUUUAUAUAAAGG